rnacentral:rRNA from 1 species
AUUGAACGCUGGCGGCAGGCCUACCACAUGCAAGUCGAACGAGUGGCGGACGGGUGAGUAAUGUCUGGGAAACUGCCUGAUGGAGGGGGAUAACUACUGGAAACGGUAGCUAAUACCGCAUACCAUCGGAUGUGCCCAAAUGGGAUUAGCUAGUAGGUGGGGUAAAGGCUCACCUAGGCGACGAUCCCUAGCUGGUCUGAGAGGAUGACCAGCCACACUGGAACUGAGACACGGUCCAGACUCCGACGGGAGGCAGCAGUGGGGAAUAUUGCGCAAUGGGCGCAAGCCUGAUGCAGCCAGGCCGCGUGUAUGAAGAAGGCCUUCGGGUUGUAAAGUACUUUCAGCGAGGAGGCGUUACCCGCAGAAGAAGCACCGGCUAACUCCGUGCCAGCAGCCGCGGUAAUUC